GACGAACGCUGGCGGCGUGCUUAACACAUGCAAGUCGAACGAAGUGGCGAACGGGUGAGUAACGCGUAAUCAACCUGCCCUUCAGAGGGGGACAACAGUUGGAAACGACUGCUAAUACCGCAUACUGAAGGAGGGGAUUGCGUCUGAUUAGCUAGUGGGAGGGGUAACGGCCCACCAAGGCGAUGAUCAGUAAGCGGGCUGAGAGGAUGGACGGCCACAGUGGGACGGAGACACGGCCCAGAACCCGACGGGAGGAAGCAGUGGGGAAUCUUCCGCAAUGGACGAAAGUCUGACGGAGCAACGCCGGGGGAGUGAUGACGGCCUUCGGGUUGGAAAGCUCUGUUAAUCGGGACGCGGUACCGGAAUAGAAAGCCACGGCUAACUACGUGCCAGCAGCCGCGGUAAUUC
rnacentral:rRNA from 1 species